UCCAGGUUUGGUGACCUGCACCUGUAAUCCCAGCUACCCAGGAGGCUGAGGCAGGAGGAUCACAAGUUCCAGGGCAGCUUCAGUAAUUUAGUGACACCCUAAUCCACUUAGUGAGACCCUGUCUCAA
rnacentral:sRNA from 1 species